GACGAACGCUGGCGGCGUGCUUAACACAUGCAAGUCGAACGGAAAGGCCCUGCUUUUGUGGGGUGCUCGAGUGGCGAACGGGUGAGUAACACGUGAGUAACCUGCCCUUGACUUUGGGAUAACUUCAGGAAACUGGGGCUAAUACCGGAUAGGAGCUCCUGCUGCAUGGUGGGGGUUGGAAAGUUUCGGCGGUUGGGGAUGGACUCGCGGCUUAUCAGCUUGUUGGUGGGGUAGUGGCUUACCAAGGCUUUGACGGGUAGCCGGCCUGAGAGGGUGAUCGGCCACAUUGGGACUGAGAUACCGCCCAGACUCCUACGGGAGGCAGCAGUGGGGAAUAUUGCACAAUGGGCGGAAGCCUGAUGCAGCAACGCCGCGUGCGGGAUGACGGCCUUCGGGUUGUAAACCGCUUUCGCCUGUGACGAAGCGUGAGUGACGGUAAUGGGUAAAGAAGCACCGGCUAACUACGUG
rnacentral:rRNA from 1 species